ensembl:misc_RNA 7SK 7SK RNA
GGAUAUGAGGGCCAUCUGGCUGUGAUAUCUUGUCACCCCAUUGAUCGCCAGGGUUGAUUUGGUUGAUCUGGCUGGCUAGGCAGGUGUCCCCUUCCUCCCUCAGUGAUCUAUGUGCAUCCCUCCUGAAGCUGUGUGCUCGGUUGAAGAGAAUGACCACCUUUGAUAGAGGAAGACUGUUCCUCAGUCAUGGGUAUAUGAGUAGCUGCGCUCCUCUGCUAGAUCCUACAAAGAAGCUCUCAAAACAUACUGAAUGUUUAAUCAAAAACAAUUAUUAUAAUAAAGUGCUCAUUGCCAGUAAGCUCCCU